AACACAAUAUUUUCCAGGAUCAUUUCGAUAGGUCAUUUCUAGAAGAGUUUCUCUGAUUAUGUAGAGCACCAUAAUCCACAGGAGGAGGUGCAACAUUUUCUCCUGAGCUCUUGGUGUUGCUUUCCUGAAGUUGCCCUUUGCCACUGGAUGGUCGUUUUUCUCUCCCAAGGGAAAAGUUAGAAUAUGCAGUCUGAGAGGU
rnacentral:snoRNA from 1 species